UGCCAGCCGAGUUAAAAGACAUAGCUUAGUACCCUUUUGCUCUCUUUAUUUAUUCAUUCAUUCAUCGUAUUCCACUUCGCCUGUUACUUCCCAUUUUCCUAUAGGCCGGCCUCGUACUUCUAUUGUAUCUUCGUCUGAGAGCGAGUAGCUAUUAGUAUAUAUAAUUAUAAGUUGUCUCCAUAGCUGAAAUUUGGACAUAGAGAGACAUGGAUUACUGGCUUGGCUAUGUGGCUUUUGCACUGAGGAUCUGUACAUUGCAUACAACAUUGGUGGAAAGUGGAUGUCCAUUGAUAUUUGAAGCUUAUUUGCUCAAUUAUUUUAUCAAUAAAACCUGUCAAUUUUUUUCAUCAUUUGAUAUUUAAUGUAUUAAAUACAUUUAUUUCCUACAUAAUUCGAGACCCUUUCUGUUUUUAAUUUAUGGUUGGUCUUCCUUAUUAAAAGGUGGGUUGGCGAGUGGGG
rnacentral:lncRNA from 1 species